rnacentral:SRP_RNA from 1 species
CCGUGCAGCCGGGGAGUUAGCGGUGCCCUGUACCUGCAAUCCGCUAUAGCAGGGGUGUUGUCUCAUCGAGGGUUAAGGAACGAAGCGCUGCCCGAGGUAAGUGGCGUUGAAGUUUGGGUCUUGUGCAACAGGAACUUGCGAACCGUGUCAGGUCAGGAAUGAAGCAGCACUAAGCAAACCUUCUUGUGUGACGCGAGGAAGCCUGAGCCGAGUUAACUGCCUUGGUAACGGCUACGAACCUUGAUUCGACA